GACGAACGCUGGCGGCGUGCUUAACACAUGCAAGUCGAACGGAAGGGCCCUGCUUUUGUGGGGUGCUCGAGUGGCGAACGGGUGAGUAACACGUGAGUAACCUGCCCUUGACUUUGGGAUAACUUCAGGAAACUGGGGCUAAUACCGGAUAGGAGCUCCUGCUGCAUGGUGGGGGGUGGAAAGUUUCGGCGGUUGGGGAUGGACUCGCGGCUUAUCAGCUUGUUGGUGGGGUAGUGGCUUACCAAGGCUUUGACGGGUAGCCGGCCUGGGAGGGUGACCGGCCACAUUGGGACUGAGGUACGGCCCAGACUCCUACGGGAGGCAGCAGUGGGGAAUAUUGCACAAUGGGCGGAAGCCUGAUGCAGCAACGCCGCGUGCGGGAUGACGGCCUUCGGGUUGUAAACCGCUUUCGCCUGUGACGAAGCGUGAGUGACGGUAAUGGGUAAAGAAGCACCGGCUAACUACGUG
rnacentral:rRNA from 1 species